UUAACCGCCCACUCCUUGAUGA
rnacentral:piRNA from 1 species